ensembl:lncRNA
CAGGAAGUUGCAUGGUGACGUGCAAUAUAUAAGGAUAGCGUUGUUCCGCUACCGGUGCCACUGCUGUUUUAACGCUGUUUCCCUGUGUUGCAUGGAAAUUGUUGCUUGUGUGAACAUCAAGUGCUGAGAUGGCACCAGGCAGUACGACAACCUCUGUUGUGUUGAAUUUACAGUUUACAGUGGAAGCAUACUGUGGCAGAUCCUCAAUGACUCAGCAUUCAUCAAGUCUCAGACAUGAAAAUUUUCAUAUUUUUGGUCUAUUCAUAGAUUUUGCUGUUAAGAGAUUAGAUUUGUCACUUGUUUUGGUAAUCAAGCAUAAUCAUAGUUUUGGUUUCCUAUUGAACAUACCGAGCUUUGGAAUAAAAAAAAAAAAAGAUUUUGUGAUCAAAGCUAAAUACAGUUUUGGUAUUUUGUCAUUUAUAUUCCAUGUUGAUUAACACAUAGCGAACAGAUAUUCAGCUGUCACAUAGUAUAGAAAAAAAAAACCAACUUUUUUUUUUUGUAAAUCAACCAGAAGGUACAGCCAUACAAACACAACACAAAUGUCCUUAAUUAUCCUAAAGAGAUUUGAAUGUUAAUAGACUCAUGAAAGUAUUUUCAAAGAAUGUGAAAACAUAUAUGCUGUGCAUUUUAGUGUUUUGCAUUUUUAAGUUGUCCAAUCAUUUUUAUUGAGGUUGGUUAAAUAUUGAGAUGUAUUAAUCAAAGUAUUUUGCUGUUUCUGUGUGUAAAUAAUGUGUUUGUUUGAAUGUACAGCACGGUGUGUGCCUCUCUCUGUUCAGCGGUGACUAAAUUGUUUGUUGUGUCUUUAAAGUUUCUUUCAGCAUGGGUCUCUUUCUUUCUUCUUGGUGUAAAAGCAGUAUACUAUAUUUUAAACACUUAAUUAUUAUUCCUGGUAAAUGUCAAGUAAUUUGUUAAUAUGAGAAUGAAUAACUUUCUAAUUCGAUAUCACAUUUCUUAUAUAAAGGCCUCCAAAAGAUUUCUCAUUGCUCUGCUCUGUGAGUACUAAUAUAUUUGCUUGUAGCUUUAUUGUAUAUUGAUCUUCUUUGUCGCAUUAUGAGUGUUUACAAGUGACAGAAUAUGCUUAUGAUGAAAUGUAGCUGUGACUUAUUGCAAUUUUUAAAAAGACGUUAAAUGUAAAAAAAAAAAAAAAAAAAAAACACUACAAAAGAUAGCCAGAAAACUUUUCAGUAUUACUGUUCGUUUAUACAAAAGAUUAUUACUGUGCUGUGCUGCAUCCAAGAAUAAUGUUUUGUGCAGUUUGCUUUGCCACAUACAGUACAUUGCAACAUUUGAUUUUGCAGUUACAAGAUUGUUUGCGCUUUAUUACUCAUCUUGCGUUAUCUUUUCAUUAUUGUGAUGAAUUUCUGUGUCGACGUAAGCCCGAGUGUUUCAAUAAUUUAAACAUGUCCUUUUGUAAAAAAUUAGCUUACUCAGUUUUGAGAAGUGGGCUACCACCUUUGCACAAAAAAUAAACGAGAAACAAUGUACUUGCUGGCAAUCAGAGAUUAAAAAACACGUCAAACUAAAUUUGAUGUAUGCAUGUGUAAUGCUAAACAUUACUCUCUGCAGACAUAAUCGCUGCACAGCACAGACCUUAAUUCUACUCUCUGUCAUUAUGUCAGUUUUGGUGCCUGCAGCUACUAAACAAUAAUUCACAUCUAUUUUGUGGUUUAGCAGCUUCUGUCUGAUGGUGAAAUCCAGUGCAAAGAUCAGUCCCUAUGAAAGGAAAAAUCG